GAGAAACUAAGACAAGUGCCUAAUAUGUCAUUGGCAUUUUGUUCUCAAAUUUAACAAACUUGUAAUGAUUAUAUAAAUUUUACUGAACUGUGUUUUAUGUAUAAACCUCACCUAAAGGCAUUAUCCAGUACAUACAACCUUCAGUCUUUUCUGGGAUGUUCUGUUGCCUGAUUUCAAAUCAAACUUAUUGAAAUUCUAGCAAUUUCUCCAGUCCCAGAUGUAAAAAUAAAAAAGCAGAAAUAAAGCCAAAUUACCCCCAAAAGAAUAUGCAUUAUACGUAUAGAACAAAUGAACCCAAAACCACAUAAGAUAAACAACAAAGCUACUGGUUCAAAAUUAAGCCUAACUUCAACAGUACCAGGCAAAAACCAUUUGUAAAAAUUACCAAAGUCAAAAUACAGAAACCUUUAGUCUAUUAUGCCUAUAAAUAUCAUGGAACCUGCCCCGAUAGUCACGUAGGUUCUUUUCUAUUUUCCC
rnacentral:lncRNA from 1 species